AGAUAUUUUAAUCAGCAGCUACUCAAUGACAAAUAAAACAGUUACUGACAGCAGAAACAGACACACAUGCACAGUCCAUCCCCUUUACAAUUCAUCUGCCCUGCCUUGUGGAUUCUAUUGAAUAUCAAUAUUUUUUUGGUUUGUUUAUUAUGUAGCAUCCCAUCCAAACAGUAUGCAGACAGUUACCAUCUGAUAGUCCCCAAAGACCGGAUGUUGUUUAGGCAUCAAGUACAUUCAGAGCAGGUUUUCCACUGCAGCAGUGGAAAAUACCAAUUCUUGCAACAGAGUUGUAGGUACGCUUUAUAGGUAAUAACUUGUGUGCGUGUAAAGCAGAAGCCACUUGAUCUCUGAAUGCAGACCAAAUCCCUCUUGUCCUGCAUAUUAUAUAGACUCAGCACAUGGUUUCCAACCAAGACAGAUUACAAUCCUUGGGAAACAUCUUUGCUCAAAGUUGCCCUGGUAAGAAACACCGUGUAUUAGCUUCAAGCAGUGCUGUGUUCUUCAGCCAUAUAGCUUCCAGUGCUCCCAAAAUUGAUUGCUCAGGAGACUUCAUAAUACAACGCAAUCAUACCAUAAGCAUAAAUAAAUCAUAUCCACUAAAUAGGAGAGAUCAGGGAAGCAACGGGCAUCACACCUGUGUUUCCAUGGAGCUCUGUGAUAUCACAGGCAUCACGCCAUACACAACACAUGGCUUCUCACCAUCUCAGAUCUCCCUCUGCAGUCCCUCCCACAGACUCACCCACAAUCAGGCAGCAGAUACUGUCUCGGUAGUUUCACCAAGCCAGCAGCCUGUACAGAGGCACCUGAUGGAGGAGAAUAGCAACUUCAAAGCAGAUUAAAGAGAAUGUUUCAUGCAUGAGGGACAAUCCAAGAGUACCAAGGUUCACAGAGUUUGUCAGAAUGAUCCACAGGAAAAGCAUGGGAGAAUAAGCAGAACAUGAAGCCCAGCAACAGCCAAGGACAUUGCUGAUCCACAGCUCUCUUGCUAUGCCACUGUCAACUCAGUAAUAAAUAUUAAACACAGGAAAAGAUCAUCAAAAUAAGUUGUAUAGACUCCAGCAGUCAACUCCUACUGCUUGAAGUCAUUAAAUACAGCCAGUCAAAACUUCAAAA